AUUGAGCGCUGGCGGCAGGCCUAACACAUGCAAGUCGAGCGGAUGAAGGGAGCUUGCUCCUGGAUUCAGCGGCGGACGGGUGAGUAAUGCCUAGGAAUCUGCCUGGUAGUGGGGGAUAACGUCCGGAAACGGGCGCUAAUACCGCAUACGUCCUGAGGGAGAAAGUGGGGGAUCUUCGGACCUCACGCUAUCAGAUGAGCCUAGGUCGGACUAGCUAGUUGGUGGGGUAAAGGCCUACCAAGGCGACGAUCCGUAACUGGUCUGAGAGGAUGAUCAGUCACACUGGAACUGAGACACGGUCCAGACUCCUACGGGAGGCAGCAGUGGGGAAUAUUGGACAAUGGGCGAAAGCCUGAUCCAGCCAUGCCGCGUGUGUGAAGAAGGUCUUCGGAUUGUAAAGCACUUUAAGUUGGGAGGAAGGGCAGUAAGUUAAUACCUUGCUGUUUUGACGUUACCAACAGAAUAAGCACCGGCUAACUUCGUG
rnacentral:rRNA from 1 species